CAGGCUGAUCUGGCUGGGAAAAAAAUGUGCUUGCCAUCUUAUACUUGUUACAUGACUGUUACAUAUUGACUUUUUAAAAUCUUUAUUUUAUUGUAUAUAUUUGAGGCAUGCAAGUAUGAUAUUUUGACAUAUAUAGUGAAAUAAUUACUACAGUCAAGCAAAUUAAGUAUCUGUUGUCUCUAAUAGUUAUCUUUUUUGUCUGUGUGGUUAAAGAACCUAAAAUCUACUCUUAGUACAUUUUAAGGAUACAAUAUUAUUAACUAUAGUCUUCAUGCUGUACACAUUGACUAUUUUAUAUAAAACAUGAAAUGCUGAAAACUGAGCUGUGUGAUUAUUUUACUUUAUACAGAAGUUGCUAAUAACGGUAUGACUAGUAAAGAGUUACAGAAACUAACUUUGUGUCUUAUUUCAAUGAAGGACUAUUGGAAGUGUACUUCAUGCAAUGAAAUGAAUCCUCCCCUUCCACCACAUUGCAACAGAUGUUGGGCGCUUCGUGAGAAUUGGCUUCCUGAAGAUAAAGGGAAAAAUAGAGGGGUUAUCUCGGAAAAAGCCAAACUAGAAAACUCAACACAAGCAGAAGAGGGCUUUGAUGUUCCAGAUUGUAAAAAAACUACAGUGAAUGAUUCCAAAGAGUCAUGUCUUGAGGAAAAUGAUGAUAAAAUCACACAAACCUCCCAGUCACAAGAAAGUGAGGACUAUUCUCAGCCAUCAACUUCUAAUAGUAUUAUUUAUAGUAGCCAAGAAGACGUCAAAGAGUUUGAGAGGGAAGAAACACAAGACAAAGAAGAAAAUAUGGAAUCUAGCUUUCCUCUUAAUGCCAUUGAACCUUGCGUGAUCUGCCAAGGUCGACCUAAAAAUGGUUGCAUUGUCCAUGGCAAAACAGGACAUCUUAUGGCAUGUUUUACAUGUGCAAAGAAGCUAAAGAAAAGGAAUAAGCCCUGCCCAGUAUGUAGACAACCAAUUCAAAUGAUUGUGCUAACUUAUUUCCCCUAGUUGAUCUGUCCAUGAAAGAGUUACUAUAUAACCCUAAAAGUUUAGACAGCAUGAAACAUUUUUAUUUACAUAUAUCAAAGUGAGAAAAUAUCUCAGUCCAUGAAGAUUUCUUCUCUUUACUGUAAUUUACCUACUUUGGGAGGAGAAUAGUGACUAUUUAUUUGCUUUUAGGAAAAUUUCACUUCUGUUUAUAUUUGGCUUUUAAUGUAAUUUGAAUUGGAUAUAUAGCUCCAUCCCUUACUCAUCCCCCUCAUUUUAAAUAAUUUCUACUUUCUCUUAGAAGUAUCUGAUUUUUAAAAUUAAUAUAUAUGUGUGUAGGACAUCUAAAUGUAACUUAUUCAGUAUCUUUCAUGUAAGGAGAAAAUGUUUUGACAGGUGUUAAUAUUUAAAUUUUUUGAUACUCUUAAAUCUUUUGAUUUUCGUUUUUCUCUUCUGAGCGGCAUGAAUAUACUCUAGGUAAAAAAGUUAACAGUUGUAUUUGGUGCUAUGUAAGUAAAAAUGUACUCCUUAUUCUCUAGUCUCUGGUUAUACUGUAGAAGGGAUAGGUGGUGAUGAUGUUAGUGAGAAUUGCCUCAUAAGACAAAACUUUUUUAAGGCUCCCUAGUAAAAUGGGGAAUUGUCUUGGGAGUCUAACCUAGUAUACCAGUCCCUUUGUCACAAAGGAUCCUUUUCAGGAUUUAGUGGAAUCUGUUGCCCCUAUGUUGAAAAACAGCUCUAAGAUGCUUUGAAGGACCUUCUUGGGCUCGGUUAUGUGGUUCUUGGUAGUUGCCUAGGUUUCGGACCUUUUCUUAAGGCCAGUUUUAGAAACUUGUGAAUUCAGAAAUUUGAUAAACAGAAUUGCUCAUUUUAAAACUAGCUGAAAAGGUUGGUUAUAAGUUCUUUCUGAAUUAUACAGAAAUUAGGUAUCACUUUCCUUCAAGAAAGACAGGGUCAGAACAUAGGAUUCUAAAAUAUCUGUUGGCUUCCUGUCAAGCUUGGCGUUGGUCGGUAAGGACCAUGCAUAUUAAGAAGUGUUAGUUCCCUUUGGGGCCCAUCUUCCCUGGCCAUGGCAUGAUGUUUGUCUGUACCUGUUGCAAGCUGUUCAGAUUCUGUAAGUCCAUAUGUCAUAAAAACUUUAAAAAGUGCAAUUCUCACAAGGUCAGGUAGACUAAAAAGCAUUCUGUAAAAGCAGCUAGUGUAAAGACCUAAUUCAUUUGAUUUUGAACAACAGAAAUGAGUCUAUCAAAUGCCAACGAGAGCUAUAGAAUAAAACUGAUGACUCAAUGAAGAAAGUUGAAGAGAUGAAACAGAAAUGCCAAGCUAAAUUU